rnacentral:tRNA from 1 species
GUUUGGUAGCUCGCAAGGCUCAUAACCUUGAAGUCACGGGUUCAAAUCCCGUCUCCGCUA